rnacentral:lncRNA from 1 species
ACAUGGGCAACAGUAACAAUGAAGCUUUGAAGAUAGGAGGAUACAUUGCCAAAGUGGCAAACAAACCAGAGAACCAUUCCCAAGAACUUAUUAUUAUGUACUGUGGGCAUAGUCAAACAGAUAGAUGGAGCUGUUACUUUAUUGCUGCACCAAUCUGGAAUCUCAUUGCUUUCGAGAUUAAUUUGUAAUGACAUCUUCAUCAGACAAAUUAAGACACAAUUAGAUCAUUAAUUAUUAAUGUGAUACGAGGGAGAGAUCAGAGAGGGAGAGGGACUAACCUUAUACCGUUGAUGUUUUCUAGACGGAAUUGAUAGAGCAUGGGCACUAAAGAAGCCUUCAUUGAAUGGAUUCUGCAGACGAGUACAAUUAAUCAUGUCCACCUUCUCUAUUGAAGGGAGGUAGUCCGACCCUGUAAUCUUGACCAGUUUUUGGCAAUUCCUAAGUUCAACAAUUGCAAGGUGCUCUAAAUUUGAUAUUGACGGGAGUGUUUGAAGGUUCUCACAAUCAUUCAAAUAUAAGGACGUCAACAAUGGUAACUUGGAAAAAUCAAAGGGUAGAUAGAGGAAACUGUUGCCGCUCAAAUCUAAAAAAUAUAAGUUGGAUAAACUCCCAAUAUCCCUAGGAACAUCAGCCUCCGAGAAACCACAAUAUGAAAGGCGUAGAUUCAAAAUAAAUUUUGACAAGGACACUAUGGGGCGUACUCUUCUUUGAGAAAAACUCCUUUUGGCCUUUAAGUAUUGGCCUCCCAUUUCCAAUUCUACAAGAUUUCGUAGCAUUUCAACAGAUCCAGGCAAUUGUUUUAUACCUGUUUCACGUGCAUUAAGAUAUCUUAGGCUUUGCAUAGCUCCAAUGUUAACUGGCAGUGUUUGUAAAGACGAGCAGUCAUUAAUGUACAAGGUUUUAAGGGAUUUUAGCUGGCAUAUGCUGCUCGGAAGAUCCGUAAUAUUUUUUGCAACCAUUCAAUUGAAGAUCAGUUAGUCUGUCCAAAUUUCCUAUUGAUGGAUGGAUCUCCUUCAGACUUGAAGCAAUUCUCAAGCAACAAAGUCUCGAGACUUCGUGAACCGUUGAAGUUUGGAGUUUUUCUGAGGCGCUUGCAAUCAGAGAGAUCCAGCAUUUUCAAAUUUCUACAAUACUAAAAGUAAACAAAAUAUUGUUUCAAUUAAGAUUUUCUUUCCCUUAAACAUUACACAUAAAUUUGCAAAAUUGAGUAACGAACCUGCAAAUUCAAACCAAAUUCUAGGAUAUUGCUCCCUUUCAUAUUCAGAAAUACAAGUUUCUCAGAUGGAAAAUUUGAUGGUACACAUUUUAAAGGACAUCCUUUCCAAGACAGCCAUCUGAGCUCCUUGGACAAUAGCUCAAAAUCUCCACUAAUAUGUAAAGUCGUCGAUUUUUAAGCACCCUAAGAUUUAUCAUUUUCUGAAAUGCUUUUGGUGUUCAGCUUCACACCCUUUAAUGCCUGUCGUUCUACCACCAAUAUUUCUACAUUUUUAGAACCCUACAGUUUAGUAAAAAGAAAAGUACUAUAAGACCAUGUUAAGUAUGAUAAAUUAAGAAAGAGAAAUGCUUUAUACAAAUUGAAGGUCAAACAAAUAGAAUAAAUUAUGUACCAAUAAAAAAAAAAUUACACAUUAUAUCCAACUAAAGGAUGUUUAUUUGAUAAUUUUGUCUUUGAUAGUUUGUUUAGACUUCAGUAAAUGUUCAUUUCAAGUACAGAAUGGUUCAAACAUCUAAAGAUACUUACUAACGGGAGAAGAUUUAAGCACAAAUGCAUAAAUUAUAAGCAAAUGUAUAUCAAUAUGAAAAAAGAAGAAGAAGAAGUAUAACCAAGAUAAAGAUAAUGAAAUUUACUGACUUUAUUUCCUUGUAGGACAUCAAGGACUUCUUGAGGGUUGACCAAUCUACUCCGUUUUCCACUGUCUCGAGGUGAUUCCAUGCGAACGAUUUCUCUUCCCACAUCCUGCACUAGAUCAUGCAUCACCAAACGACGCCGAUCCCUUUGGAGCAGGUGUCUUUUGACUAGAGUUACAAUUGCACUUUCACAAUACAAACCACAGGCGUUUAAUGUUUUGGUAACUUCAUCCUCAUCACAUCCAUGGAAGGCGCACGCAAUAUCAAGGAAAACAUUCUGAGUAUUGUCAUCAAGUCCAUCAAAGCUUAUUUGGAGAAUCUUUUGAAUAUCAAAAUGAGGAAUUGUUCUUAGUUUUUCGAACUCGUAUCUCCAUUCUUCAACGGAUCUCCCUUGUAAAUGUGACCCCAAUGUCACAAGAGCUAAUGGUAGCCCACCUGAAUAUUUAAUUAUGUUUUGGGCCAGCUCAACAUAUUCAUGUGGUGGAGAAAGACUGUUAAAAGCAUGACAAGAAAAAAGUUGUUGUGCUUCGUUGCCAUUUAAAAGUUUGGCCCGGUAUAUCUCAUUUGUUGUAAGACCAUAAAGCAAAUGCUCGUCUCGGGUUGUAAUAAUUAUAACACUACCAGAACCAAACCAAUUUCUUUCUCUUGUUAAGGAUUCUAAUUGGCUUCUAUGAUCCACAUCAUCAAGAACAAUUAGAACCUUUUGGGACCCAAGUCUUGCUUUGAUGAGAUUAACACCUUCAGCAACACUAUCAACUUCAAAUUCCUUAGUUUUGAGGAUUUGAUGAAGUAGUUUCUCUUGAAGCUUGAUUAGACCCAAUUCUUCAGCUUUUGAUCUAACAUCUGAAAGGAAGCAACUACCACCAAACUGUAGAAAUAUUCUAUUGUAGAUGGCUUUUGCUAGAGUUGUUUUUCCAAUUCCACCAACGCCACAUAUACCAACCAUUCGAACUUCAUGCUCACAUCCACUUUGCAUUAACAACAAUAUAUCUUUGAUAGGAGAAUCUAAUCCAAUUGGAUAAUGAGCAACAUCUAGAGGUGUCUGGUUGACUUCUUGCAGAACUUGUUUUAUAAUACUUUCAAUAAAUUUUGAUUCAUGCCUACAGUUUUUUUAGCAAAAACAGUAAAAAACAAAACUUUGAUAUUUGAAAAUAUAUGAUGAACAAAACAAAAUCCAUAGCCAACAGAUAACAGGGAAAUCGAGGGUAGAGAAUGGAGAUUAUCAAUUACUAUUACUCCCUCGUUCCAAUUUAUGUGAUGCAGUCUGAUUUGGCACGGAGAUUAAGAAAUAUAAAAAGAAUUUGCAAUGUUCCAAAACUAACCAACUUAUAAGCUUAGGCAAAUGCUUAAAUUCAAAAUUCUAAAGUUGAAUUAAGAAGUGUUACCCAUCAGCAACAUUUCUCAAAUCCCAUCCAGAUAAAUUUGCUGCUUCAGUAAGUGCAGCUUUCCACUUUUCCAUUCUUUCAGUUCCAAUUGAUCGUUCCUUGUGUUUUGCCAAAGCUUCGCCAAAGGAUCCAGUUUGUCUUCGUACUUGAGAAGGAUCAACAUCAUAGAAAAUAGGCAAAACUAGCUGAUUUAACCUCUCUCUGCAAUCGAGAAUUUUGACAAGUUCAUCAAGACACCAACUAGAGGAAGCAUAAUUUUUGGAGAAAACAACAAUGGCAACCCUAGAUUGUUCAAUUGCUUUCUCAAGUUCAAUUGAAAUGACGUCUCCCUUUCUCAAUUCCUCAUCAUCUAUGAAAGUAUUAACUCCGACUUGACAUAAUCUGAAAUAAAGAUGACCGGUAAAGUUGUUUCUGGUAUCUUCACCUCUGAAACUGAGAAACACAUCAUAAGAGAAGUUGGAAGAAGAAGAUGAUUCUCCUUGAGUAUUCAUAUUUGAUGACAAUAAAUGGAAGAAUUAAGCGAUUUUUAGUUGAAUGAAAGAAAAGAUGAGUGAAGCAGUUACAGGUAAUUGUUUGUUCCUGGAAACUCAAUUUUGGGUCAACUCAUUUACAAUCCCUAAAGAAAGUUAAUCGAAACGAAAGGGAAGUUCCCAGCAUAUUUCUUAGAUAGUUCACGUGUCUAUAUUAAAAGUAGAUAUAUUUACAUAAAUUUAGAUGGCAAAAAGUAAUCUCUUUCUCUUAAUUAAUUACUUCUCCACUUUUGAAUUGACACACCUGAGUAUUAAGAAAACAAUAAGAAGUAGUAGAAAUAAUUAGGGAUGAUAAUGAGAUAGCGUGGAUGAAAGGUAGGGCGGAUUAAAGGUUAUAUGGGGCGGGGGCGGGGAGCUUUUAAGGUUGUAUGGGGUUGGGUGGAUGCAAAUUAAUGUGAGGCGGUGCGAUUUGUGGGUUCAUGUGAUUUUAUACGGAUUCAAAUUUAAUUUUAAUUGUAUAGGUUAUAAGAGUGAUGAAGCUUUCACGGAUAAAAAUACACAUGAUUUGGUAGUUAAACUAUUAGUAUUAGGAUUAGGAUAAAAUAAAGAGAAUAAUCUUGCCCUUUGUCUUGUAUUGUGUUAUAAUUCAUAUAAAAAAAUUUAUCUGAUUUGGAGUCUACUCAAUUUUCAAAAGAAAAAAAAAACUUUAAUUCAUGAUGUGCACUUUAUUUAUGCUUUUAUUUGCAUCUACUUAUUUUGACCCAACGAAAAUGAAUUUUGUUAUUUAUGCUCUGCAUAAAUUGCAUCUAGUUAAAAAGAAUUUUGAAAUAUUGAGUUUUAUGAAUUUGAUUUUAUUUUAUUUUCUACAAAAAUUGUGUGAUCAUUUGGUAAUGGCCAUUACUAUUGCUCAAAGAUUUUAAACAUGAAAUAUAACUAAUACAAUAAUAAUUUUAAUAUAGCUUACUAAAAUAUUCAAGAUAAUAAAUGAAAAUGAUUAGAGUUUUCGAUAAAACUCAUCCUCAAACUAUAGCCUAGAUUUUGGUUACAUCCUUGCAUUAUUAUAUUGAACAAAAAACAUCAUUCAUCUAUCUAAGAAGUUUCAAUAGUCAUCCUUCGGUUAAUUUUGGUAAAAAGUUAACUUGUUAUCGUCAAAAUAUGUGUAAAGCAUGUAGGUUUCCCUCUAAAUCUCCUAACCUAAAUCGUCUUCUCCACUAUAUUUUGAGCUAUUGCACUUUAGAUUUGUGUCAUAGUUGAAGGAUGAUUUCAGUAAAAAAUUUAAAAUAAUUUAAUUAAAAUUAAUACAAUUUCUUACCUACUUCCUAAUUGGGAACUUUGUAUUUAUGAUAAAGAAGUAUAAAAAAGUUAUCCCGAACCCGACCAGUAAAUGCUUUUUUAUAAAAUUUAGAACCUAUAGUUUUUUAAUCUUCCAGGGGUCCCAUUUUUCUAUGGAUUGAAUUAUCAUAAUAUUUUAUGACAAAAUACUGUAAAAUGGUGUAUGAUUGUAUGGCAUAUAUACCAUUUGUAUAUUCCCCAAAAUCAAUGAUAACCAUUUGUCUCUAACUUUAAUUUUGAAUUGUACUAAUUGAAUAUAUUAAUUGUACAAUAUACAUUUAUUUAGUUCAAAGAUUUCCUCUUUGUACUUUAAGCUUUGGAGUGUAUUGUUUUCCGCAUUUUAUGAAGUGUUACUAUUAGAAAAAAAGGCAUAAUACAUAAACAUGUGAUAUUCAAAUUUGGUCUCAGUUAAAUUCUCCAAUUUAUAAAAUGAUCAUUUAGAUUCUUCCAAAAUUAUUUGUUAUGUUAAUGUAGGAUGUCCACGAGAUACAUUGAGGCCAAGUUGGAGUGUUUAGCUGUUAGUUAAUAGCAAGUUAAAAUAUCUAGACGUGCACUUUCAAAGUUAGAGACUGAUUUUAUGUUGUUUUUUAUUUGUGUGUCUAAUUAUGAUGUUUUAUUUAUAUGGUUUGAUUUGUGAAUGAAUUUUGAUUUUGCUCAUGUUAUUGUUGAUGGAUUCAUUUUCAGUCACUACUUAAUUAGUUACUAGAUGUGGAUUAAGAUUUUGAGUUUGUAAGUUCUAGAUCUCAACCGAUCAUUUUUGAAGUUUGUUGGAAUGUCAUAACAUAAAUACAUGAUUUGAAUCAAAGUUAUUGAGUUUGAUCAAACCCGUAGAUCCUAUACACGGUGGAUGAGUGAAGCAGAAAUAAUUGGACAAAAUUCAUUUAGGAGUCAUUUGCAAAUGAGAUUGUAUUUGGAAGAGAAUUUUGAAUAUUACAUAUUGAUAGUAGUGUCUAAGGUGUUAUAUACAAAUACUUUUAGAACAAACUUUUUUCUUACAUAAUGAACACAAGAAAAUAAGUAAGAAAACCUACUUAUUCUCCGGGGAAACAUUUUCCAAAAAGACAUUUUAGAGGCAUUGUUAUCAUUUGGUAGAUCCAGGUCCAUGGCCUAUUUCUAUGGAACACAUUCUUCAUGGUACCGAACACAAUCUCAGAACUUUGUUCGUUGAUAUCCACUGUUACGGACCUCACUUGUGGGAUGUGUUGUUGUUGUUUGAGUUGAUAUGCCCGAAAGUCUUUGUGGGUAGGAGGGAGUAUAAGAAUGAUCCACAACUCCCGGCAAAGAUGUAACAUUACCAUGUUGGUCCAAGUAUAACAGAUGGAUCCCUAUCUUCUUUACUAGUCUCUGUCAGUUUCAUUCUUUACUGUUAUCUGUUCCCCACCUUUGAUGUUCAGGCCUUUAAAAGGUCUAUCAUUUACGGAAGAUAAGUAAUAUACACAUGAUACUUCUCCGUGACUGUUAGGUCUAUCAAAAGGCCAAAUCCACGGAAAACCUGUACUCUUUUUAUGGGCAACAGUAACAGCGAAGUGUUCAAGAUCAUGUACAUCGCAAAGGCGGCAAACAAACCAGAGAACCAUUCCUAAGAACUUGUUAUAAUGUACUGUGGGCAUAGUCAAACAGAUAGAUGGAGCUGUUACUUUAUUGCUGCACCAAUCUGGAAUCUCAUUGCUUUCGAGAUUAAUUUGUAAUGACAGCUUCAUCAGACAAAUUAAGACACAAUUAGAUCAUUAAUUAUUAAUGUGAUACGAGAGAGAUCAGAGAGGGAGAGGGACUAACCUCAUACCGUUGAUGUUCUCUAGACGGAAUUGAUAGAGCAGGGGCACUAAAGAAGCCUUCACUGAAUGGAUUCUGCAGACGAGUACAAUUAAUCAUGUUCAUCUUCUCUAUUGAAGGGAGGUUGUCCAACCCUGCAAUCUUGACCAGUUUUUGGCAAUUCCUAAGUUCAACAAUUUCAAGGUACUCUAAAUUUGAUAUUGACGGGAGUGUUUGAAGGUUCUCACAAUCAUUCAAAUACAAGGACAUCAACAAUUGUAACUUGGAAAAAUCAAAGGGUAGAUAGAGGAAACUGCUGCCGCUCAAAUCUAAAUGAUAUAAGUUGGAUAAACUCCCAAUAUCCCUAGGAACAUCAGCCUCUGAAAAACCACAAUAUGGAAGGCAUAGAAUCGAAAUAAAUUUUGACAAGGAUACUAUAGGGCGUACUCUUGUUUGAGAAAACCUCCUUUUGGUCUCAAAGUAUUGACCUCCCAUUUCCAAUUCUAUAAGAUUUCCUAGCAUUUCAACAGAUCCAGGCAAUUCUUUUAUACCUGUUUCACGUGCAUUAAGAAAUCUUAGGCUUUGCAUAUCUCCAAUGUCAACUGGCAGUGUUUGUAAAGAUGAGCAGUCAUUAAUGUACAAGAUUUCAAGGGAUUUUAGCUGACAUAUGCUGCUCCAAAGAUCAGUAAUCUUUUUGCAACCACUCAAUCGAAGACAAAUUAGUCUGUCCAAAUUUCCUAUGGAUGGAUGGAUCUCCUUCAGACUUGAGCAAUUCUCAAGCCACAAAGUCUCGAGACUUCGUGAACCGUUGAAGUUUGGAGUUUUUCUGAGGCGCUUGCAAUAAGAGAGAUCCAGCAUUUUCAAAUUUCUACAAUACUAAAAGUAAACAAAACAUAGUUUCAAUUAAGAUUUUCUUUCUCUUAAACAUUACACAUAAAAUUGCAGAAUUGAGUAACGAACCUGCAAAUUCAAACCAAAUUCUUGGAUAUUGCUCCCUUUCAUAUUCAGAAAUACAAGUUUCUCAGAUGGAAAAUUUGAUGGUACACAUUUUAACGGACAUCCUUUCCAAGACAACCAUCUGAGCUCCUUGGACAAUAGCUCAAAAUCUCCACUAAUAUGUAAGUGGUCUAUUUUAAGCACCCUAAGAUUUAUCAUUUUCUGAAAUACUUUGGUGCUUAGCUUCACACCCUUUAAUGCUUGUCGUUCUACCACCAAUAUUUCUACUUUUUUAGAACCCUGCAAUUUAGUAAAAAUAAAAGUACUAUAAGACCAUGCUUAAGUAUGACAAAUUAAGAAAGAGAAAUGCUUUAUACAAAUUGAAGGUCAAACAAAUAGAAUAAAUUAUGUACCGAUAAAAAUAAAUUUACACAUUAUAUCCAACUAAAGGAUAUUUAAUUGAUAAUUUUGUCUUUGACAGAUUGAGUGUUUAGACUUCAGUAAAUGUUCAUUUCAAGUACAGAAUGGUUCAAACAUCUAGAGAUACUUACUGGCCGGAGAAGAUUUAAGCACAAAUGCAUAAAUUAUAAGCAAAUGUAUAUCAAUAUAAAUGUAAAAAAGAAGAAGAAGUAUAACCAAGAUAAAGAUAAUAAAAUUUACUGACUUUAUUUCCUUGUAGAACAUCAAUGACUUCUUGAGGGUUGAACAAUCUACUCCGUUUUCCAGGGUCUUGAGAUUCCAUGCGAACGAUUUCUCUUCCCAUUUCCUGCACUAGAUCAUGCAUCACCAAACUAGACCAAUCAUCCCUUUGGAGCAAGUUCCUUUGGACUAAGGUUGAAUUGAACUUUCAGAAUAAAAACCACACGCAUUUAAUGUUUUGGCAACUUCAUCCUCAUAACAACCAUGGAAGGCACAUGCGAUAUCAAAGGAAAACACUCCGAGUAUUGACAUCAAGUCCAUCAAAGCUUAUCUUGAGAAUCUUUUGAAUAUCACCAUGAGGAAUUGCUUUUAGUUUUUUGAACUCGUAUCUCCAUUCUUUAACGGAUCUCCCUAGCAGAUGUGACCCCAAUGUCACAAGAGCUAAUGGUAGCCCACCUGAAUAUUUUAUUAUGUCUUGUGCCAGUUCAACAUAUUCUUGUGGUGGAGAAAAACAGUUAAAAGCAUGACAAGAAAAAAGUUGUUGGGCUUCAUUGUCAUUUAAAAGUUUGGCCCGGUAUAUCUCACUUGUUGUAAGCCCAUAUAGCAAAUGUUCAUCUCGGGUUGUAAUAAUUAUUACACUACCAGAGCCAAACCAACUUCUUUCUCUUGUUAAGGAUUCUAAUUGGCUUCUAUGAUCUACGUCAUCAAGAACAAUUAGAACCUUUUGAGACCCAAGUCUUGCUUUGAUGAGAUUAGCACCUUCAGCAACAUUAUCAACUUCAAAUUCCUUAGUUUUGAGGAUUUGAUUAAGUAGUUUCUCUUGAAGCUUGACUAGACCAGAUUCUUCAGUUUUUGAUCUAAUGUCAGAAAGGAAGCAACUACCAUCAAACUGUUGAAAUAUUCGAUUAUAGAUAGCUUUUGCCAAAGUUGUUUUUCCAAUUCCACCAACGCCACAUAUACCAACCAUGCAAACUUCAUGCUCACAUCCACUUUGCAGUAACAACUCUAUAUGUUUGAUAGGAGAAUCUAAUCCAGUUGGGUAAUGAGCAACAUCUAGAGGUGUCUGGUUAACCUCUCGCAGAACUUGUUUUAUAAUAUUUUCAAUAAAUUUUGCUUCAUGCCUACAGUUUUUGCAACAAUAAAUACUUAGGUAUUUAAAAAUAUUUGAUGAACAAAAUAAAAAUCAAUAGCCAAAAGAUAAAAGAGUUUAUAGAAUGGAGAAUAUAUUCCUUGUCCCUAUCUAUAUGACACAGUUUGAUUUGACACAAAAUUUAAGAAAUAUAGAAAGACUUUACAAUGUUCCAAAAUUAACCAAGUUAUAAGCUUAGGCAAACGCUUAAAUUCAAAAUUUAAUAGUUGAAUUAAGAAGUCUUACCCAUCAGCAACAUUUCUCAAAUCCCAUCCAGAUAAAUUUGCUGCUUCAGUAAGUGCAGCUUUCCACUUUUCCAUUCUUUCAGCUCCAACAAAUCGUUCCUUAUGUUUUGCCAAAGCUUCGUCAAAGGAUCCAGUUUGCCUUCGCACUUGAGAAGGAUCAACAUCAUAGAAAAUAGGCAAAACUACCUGAUUUAACCUCUCUUUGCAAUCGAGAAUUUUGACAAGUUCAUCAAGACACCAACUAGAGGAAGCAUAAUUUUUGGAGAAAACAACAAUGGCAACCCUAGACUGUUCAAUUGCUUUCUCAAGUUCAAUUGAAAUGACGUCUCCCUUUCUCAAUUCCUCAUCAUCUAUGAAAGUAUUAACUCCAACUUGACACAAUCGGAAAUAAAGAUGACCUGUGAAGUUUUUCCGAGUAUCUUCACCUCUGAAACUGAGAAACACAUCAUAAGAUAAGUUGGAAGAAGAAGAUGAUUCUCCUACAACAAAUUGAGUAUUCAUAUUUGAUGACAAUAAAUUAAAGAGAUUUUUAGUCAAUUUUUUGCUUAAUUAAUUAAAUAGAGAUGUGAAGCAGCUAUUUAUAUACCCACAAGUACUUGUUUGUUCCUGGAAAUUUAAUUUUGGGUCAAGUCAUUUACAAGCCCCAAAGAAGGUUUACAGAAAUGAAAGGGAAGUUUCCAAGACAUAAUAUGUCUAUUCACUUUUAUUUGUCCAGCUAUUAAAAGUAGAUAUACAAUUUACUUUCAUUUCCUUCGUAGAUUUUUACUCAUUCACACUAUUAAAAAUAAUGAUCAUUUUUAUAAUGUAUUUUUUCAUCAUAUUAAUAUGCAAAAAAUUGUAAUUUAUAAUUUUUUUAUAGUUUUUGAAUAUUUAAAUUUUUUGUUUAAAAUAUCAAAUUAAUACAAUCUAAUUUAAUUUUGAAAAUUAAUUAAAUUGACUUUCGAAAAUGACAAUAUGAUAUAAAUGAGAGAAUACCAAAAGAGCUGGCAAAUUUCCACCAAAACUUCGCAAGUGGAAAUUAUUAUUAUCUUAAAGUUAUGAACUCACAUCUACAAUUAUUAUUUAGUUUAUUAUAUUUAAAUAAAAAAGAGGAAAAGUCGGAAGUUGUAAAAUUUUAAAUGACAAGUAGAAUGUUUCAACAUGAAUUUAUGAUACUUUAAUAAGCAAUAUUCGUUCUGUAAUAAAUUAAUCGCAAAGAAUUGAUUAGGAAUUUGGUUGAAAAUAGAAAUGGUCCAAUUCAAGAUGAAACUAUUAGAAUUGACCUUUGGUGAGGAAGUAAAUUAAAUUACUCCCUUCGUCUAUUUUUAUUUGUCUAGUAUUAACUCAUGCAAUAAAUAAAACAAAAACAUGAUCGUAUUUGUUCCUGUAUUCUAACAAAAAAGUUAUAUUAUUUGUCAUUUGUUAUACUUCAGAGUCAUAUUUAUCCUUGAGACAUUAAAUCUCCAUGACCCGCCUUAAUUUAACGCAGAAUAGGACGAACACUCUUCUCCAAAGUCCAAGCUAAGACUGUUUCCAUUACUAAAAAUCAAUAAAUUACACAGUUCGAUCACUUACAAUGUUCUCUGGUAUUGUAGGUUAAUCAGAGAGACACUAUAUUCACUAUACAAAGAAAAAGUUGAUCAAUUUUUAAAACUAAGCUUUAGUGCAACUCUACAUACUAGCACUAUACAAUGGAAAAAUUGGUUACAUAAAUUAAACAAAAUUUUCUAUAGAAGCUACUGCUAUCGAAGCUCGAUGCUCCAUUGUUCAUACCUAAUAAUGGCUUUGUAGCCCUAUAAUAGUACACAUUCUACUACAUCCAUCUUCCCAUCUUCAUUGACAUCAUUUUCCUCUUCUUGUGGGCUUUAUGCUUUUCUGCAAUCCUCAGCCUCCUCUUGGCGUUUCUCAUUGGAUUGACCUUCUCUUCUUGUUUCCUCUUAUCCCUCUUCGAUUUGAUAUUCUUCCUUAUAUGACUGUAGAUUUGGACAAAAUAUGUGUUCCUAUAACAUUGCUUAUGCUCCCUCGCACUCCUUCAGCCAGUUGUUUCACGUCAUCUGUGGAGAUGAUGCAAACGUAAUGUCACGCCCCGAGCGUACACCCUGGGCAGGACCGGCACCCGGAGACCAUUUCUGGCCCCAAGCGAACCCUUGGCCUGGCUUUCUUAACUCAGCGGAAACCUAACCCAACAGAAUAACUCAAUGCAAUGCAAUAUUACAAAACAACUUAACUUAUAAAAUAUGGCCAUAAAGGCAACUCGAAUCUCAAAAUAGAAUAUUUACAUAUAUAUAUAGAUGAGAGACUCAAAACUAACUGACUGACUGUCUGUCUAUGAAGCCUCUAAAAUACUGAGAUGGAUGUUGGGACAGACCCCGCAACACCCUAAUAAGACAAAACUAAGAGAACAAAAUAACUAAGCCCUCCGGAAGCAAGGAGGCUCACACUGACUCUGGAGUGCUCAANNNNNNNNNNNNNNNNNNNNNNNNNNNNNNNNNNNNNNNNNNNNNNNNNNNNNNNNNNNNNNNNNNNNNNNNNNNNNNNNNNNNNNNNNNNNNNNNNNNNNNNNNNNNNNNNNNNNNNNNNNNNNNNNNNNNNNNNNNNNNNNNNNNNNNNNNNNNNNNNNNNNNNNNNNNNNNNNNNNNNNACAAGGAUACAAUAAGCCUGAGAUGUAUAUAGAAAUACAAUUAAACUGAUGUAUAUAAAAAAAUACAAUAAUCUCUGUGUAUGAAAAUACAAUAACUGCUGUGGGAGUUUCUCUAACNNNNNNNNNNNNNNNNNNNNNNNNNNNNNNNNNNNNNNNNNNNNNNNNNNNNNNNNNNNNNNNNNNNNNNNNNNNNNNACUUUGGCUCAUAUGUUUUAAAAACAAACUUCUUUCUUUAGUUUGAGAUAAUUGCUUAAAACCUAGCCCAAAGGCUCUCUUGGAAUCAAUGUUCCCUUUACUUUGCUCAAAUGUGAAAACAUUUAUAAACUUCUUUGGGAAUACUUAGUUCCCUAAUAGCUUUUGAGAAAUGAACUCAACUUUAUGCUCUUGACUUACUUGAAACUUGAGACUCUUUACUUAGCUUGAAACUUUAAACUCUUUACUUGACUUGACACUUGAGUCUAAAAAUGAAGUUAAAACGUUCAAUAAAGACUCUUGAACAACUUUGCAACUUGCUUACCUUGCUUAACUUCUAAGCUUAACUCUUAAUUUCUAACUUCACUUGACUUCUAACUAACUCUCCUUGAAUUGGAAUUUUGGAUUCAAGGUGUUUGAUCACAUGUUAUGGAUGAGUUCUUGACUUUUAGAAGUACCUUGGAGUGUUGGAAACAACUAGGAAACAUAGGUAUAAUACCUAGGAACAUGUAUGAAAAAAGUGGUGAAUGAAAGGGAAGGAUUGGUGUCCUUGGCACUAGGAGAGGUGCGACAGCCCAGCCCUUUGUUCCCCAAAAAUCCGACUUUUUCCCCUUGUUUCUUUCCAAUUCUAAACCCUCUCAACCUCAAGGUUUCAGCAACAACACUUAGAAUCAUAAAGACCCUUAUUAUACAAUAGAUUCAACUCAAAAAUCACAGCCGGAAAUUUGUACUAAACCAGCAAGAACUUCAACACAACACCACUACAACUUCAACAACCAAUAAAUCUUCUCUUGGAAUUAAAAACGAGUUGGUGUGUGGGGGUAUGAACCAACCAACNNNNNNNNNNNNNNNNNNNNNNNNNNNNNNNNNNNNNNNNNNNNNNNNNNNNNNNNNNNNNNNNNNNNNNNNNNNNNNNNNNNNNNNNNNNNNNNNNNNNNNNNNNNNNNNNNNNNNNNNNNNNNNNNNNNNNNNNNNNNNNNNNNNNNNNNNNNNNNNNNNNNNNNNNNNNNNNNNNNNNNNNNNNNNNNNNNNNNNNNNNNNNNNNNNNNNNNNNNNNNNNNNNNNNNNNNNNNNNNNNNNNNNNNNNNNNNNNNNNNNNNNNNNNNNNNNNNNNNNNNNNNNNNNNNNNNNNNNNNNNNNNNNNNNNNNNNNNNNNNNNNNNNNNNNNNNNNNNNNNNNNNNNNNNNNNNNNNNNNNNNNNNNNNNNNNNNNNNNNNNNNNNNNNNNNNNNNNNNNNNNNNNNNNNNNNNNNNNNNNNNNNNNNNNNNNNNNNNNNNNNNNNNNNNNNNNNNNNNNNNNNNNNNNNNNNNNNUGAUUUGUGAAAAGACCAAAAUGCCCUUAAAUUUUCCGGACGGAUUCCCUGCCAACUGCCCAACUUUCAAAGGGCAUAACUCGCUCAUACGAACUCGGAAUCGAGUAAUCUCAAUGGCGUUGGAAAGAUCAUUCCACAAGCUUCGCAACCAUAACUGGAACUACUCCUAACUCAUCCUGAGCUAGGAGUUACGACUGACUCAAAGUUGGCCAAAAUCACUGAUUUCCACACUUAGCCAAAUUUUCCAGAUUUUGAAUUUUUCCAAAUUUCCAGAUUCUGGACUGCCAAAUUUCCAGAUUUUAAAUUUUUCCAAAAAUGACUAUUUCCAAAUUCAAGCUUCUUCAUAUUCAUUUUAAAUUGUCGGAUGUUACACGUAAUCAUCAAAUAUAUUAAGGACUACAAAGUUAAUCACUCGGAAGCCAAAGAGGAAGUGAAGAACAUUUGUAAAUGCAGCUAGCACUUUGCAUAUAAGAUAGUAUGGGCAGACACUUGAAACAACAAGUUUGCAAGAGAUUGAAUGAGAGACCAUACCUGAUAUAACUUUUCCAGCAAAUCCUUCACAAACUUUGUACAGGGGCAACAGCAUAUGAUAUGCAAAGCUUUGGCAAUCAACCUCACCUUCAGGGGACAACAAUCUACUCUGAUCUAUAAGCUUUGGUGAAACUGAUUUGAAACAAUUGAAGAUAAUUCUCAUCUGCAAAAAAUUGUGCACAUUCCACAGCAUGAGAACAGGCACUCCUAGCACCAUAUAUGGGAGAGUAAGGCACAAAAUAUUUUUUUUGGAAAACAACGAGAAGGUAAAUUACAUAGCAAUGACUAGGCUAAGAAAUUUUUUGCGAGUCGAGCAAACAGAGAUAUCCUUAAUUAAUCACCCACCUGCAUAUCCUCCACAUGAAGGGAAAUCUUUCCCAUUGUCUUAAGCAAAUAAGAAAUGACCAAGUAGCGCUGGCCUUCAUCUUCUUGAUCGCUAAGGUCAGACACAAGAGACAGAUAGAUGUUUUUCCCUUUCCUUGAAUCAAGCUGUUGAAAAGCCUUAAGCAGAAGACCCUGCUCGUCAUGUUCAAUGGUGGACCAGAACUCAUCUUUACAUUCAUUUUUUCCUAAGAAUGAAUGCAGAGAGCAAAUUGAAAAGACAAGAUUUUGAGUAAUGAGAUCACUGGCAGCAUCAUCAGUCUGCAGCACCUUCAGCUGACAACAAAGAGAAGUAGCUACGAAGAAAAGUCUACUUGGCCUCAUCAAAAAGUAAGUUUCUUGUGGCAGUUCAAGGUUUUCUUUCCAAGCCUCAGUCACAGUGGCAAAGUAGCAAGCCACAAGACGGUUUGAUAUGUUGCGCAACCACAGAUGCGGAUGCAAAAGCAACUCACAGAUUGCUUCCCACAGAUCCUAUGAGAUGUCAAUAAAAAUAAUAGUCAGAAAACAAAUAUGAAUUUAUCCAAAGAACAGGACAAGUUAUUGGCAAUCUGGAAAUGGGAGUGUGGUAGCUGUGGAGCGUACUUUCCCCAGUACAACAAUAACAUACCUAGUGAAAUCCCACUAAGUGGGGUCAGGGGAGGGUAGAAUGUACGCAGUCCUUACCACUACCUCGUGGAGGUAUAGAGGCUGUCUCCGAAAAACCCUCGGCUCAAGUGCAUCAAACCAAAGUAAAAGUAUCCUCUUCAAACUUUAAGCCCAGUAUACUAUUCAAACUCUAAGCACUUGAUUUUCAAAUACUUCUUAACUUUACACCUAGUCUGUAGUUGCAACUAUCUUUUGGCAUGCUGCCUAAGUUUGAGGACUAAAGCAAUUUCACCUAAGUGGUUGUAGCCACACCAAAAAGUAAUUCAUUUCUUAAAUCUAUCACAAAGCAAAAUGAGGUCCAGCGGUUUUCACAUAAGUCCCCUCGUACAUAUGCUAAGUAGGACAUAUUAUGGAUGACUUGGUUUUAGCCCUAUAUUUUAAGACCAUAGCUAAAAUAAUGAAAUACANNNNNNNNNNNNNNNNNNNNNNNNNNNNNNNNNNNNNNNNNNNNNNNNNNNNNNNNNNNNNNNNNNNNNNNNNNNNNNNNNNNNNNNNNNNNNNNNNNNNUAUCAUAAUCAAGAUCUCCCAACUCUACAGUAGACGUGGCAUUCAAUUCACGAAGAAGAUUUGCCUGUAUGAAAUUAAGAAGUGUUACACGUCAACAAACACCUAAAGCAACAAGUUCAAAAGAAAACUAGAUGGUCUAGUAAUACCGUAGGAUGUACAGAAGAAUCAUUCCCUGCGACAGCAUCAAGAACAUCACAAAUAGAAGUACGGACAUCCAAGCCAGCAGAAAUUACGAGUGGAGAAACAGAUUUGACGGUCUUUUUACUGCUUUCACUACCCAAUGGUUCUACAAUAUCCUUAAUAAUCUGUAAAGUGCCUACACAAAUCUCUGCAACCAGAAAGAAAGGUAAUCUUAGAAAAAGAGCAAGGACAUGAGACCAAACAGGUCCACCAAAACUGUAAGACAAAACUCAGAGACUCUGACCAGGGUCUUUGGAUCUCUUUGACAGAAGCGGAAGCAAGAUGUCAAGAAACUUCCUUGCAGCCAAUGGUCCCUUUAUGUGCUUCGAUAAAAGCUUGAAGACAUUGAGCUCUUUUUCCCCAGGAUAUUUGACAAUCUUCCUGGAAAAGUGAAUACAUCAGUUAAGAGGAGAACUGAUGCUAGUGCAUCUCAUAUAACACUUAAUUACAUAAAGAGCAUGCUAAGUCCACUUAGCCAUAUAGGGUGGAUGACACAUACACAAGAAAAUAAGUAAGAAACCUACUUAUUCUCCGGAGAAGCAUUUUCCAAAAAGACAUUUUAGAGGCAUUGUUAUCAUUUGGUAGAUCCAGGUCCAUGACCUAUUUCGAUGGAACACAUUUUCCAUGGUACAUAACACAUUCUCAGAAUUUCGCUCAUUGAUAUCCAUUGAUACGGACCUCACUUGUGGGAUUUCACGGGAUGUGUUGUUGCUUGAGUUGAUAUGCCCUGCUGAAAGUCUUUGUGGGUAGGAGGGAGUAUAAGAAUGAUCCACAACUCCCGGCAAAGUUGUAACAUUACCAUGUUGAUCUAAAUGUAAUAGAUGUACUCCUAUCUUCUUUACUAUGGCUCCGCCACUGCUAUCCUCUACUCUUAUCUGUUCCCCGCCUUUGAUGUUCAGGCCUUUAAAAGGUCUAUCAUUUGCGUAAGGUAAGUAAUAUACACAUGAUACUUCUCCGUGACCAUCAGGUAUAUCAAAAGGCAAAAUCCAUGAAAAACUCUUUUUAUGGGAAACAGUAACAACAAGGUGUUCAAGCUCAUGUACAUCGCAAAGGCGGCAAACAAACCAGAGAACCAUUCCUAAGAACUUGUUAUUAUGUACUGUGGGCAUAGUCAAACAGAUAGAUGGAGCUGUUACUUUAUUGCUGCACCAAUCUGGAAUCUCAUUGCUUUCGAGAUUAAUUUGUAACAACGACUUCAUCAGACAAAUUAAGACACAAUUAGAUCAUUAAUUAUUAAUGUGAUACGAGAGAGAGAUCAGAGAGGGAGAAGGACUAACCUCAUACCAUUGAUAUUUU